rnacentral:lncRNA from 1 species
GUCAGGCAGAGUGAUUCCAGCUACAUAGACAUCGACACUCUCCUCAUAGAGGUUUGCAAUCCCAAGCUGUUGUGAGGUAAGCCGACCAGAUGUAGAAGACCCUUCUCUGCAAAACUGGAAGAGAUGUCCCGGUGAUCACAAACCCUCAGUUACAGAAUUCAAAGGCACUGAAAUGGGUAAAACGCCAACUGAAGAUCUGGGAAAUUUACUAGCAAAAAUGAUCGGUGGAACUCGAAUAAACGCAACCAAAUGAAUCAAGUGAAGAAAUCAAUCCAUGACCCAGACAAAGAAGGCAGAGAAAAGUCAACAAAAUGGAUGGGAAAAUCAGUAAUAUUGAUGAAAAAAAAAAGCCAACAAAAAGAAAGAGAAUUCAUCAAAGAACUUGAGAUUAACAACAAAGCGAAGCUAAAUGCUGGAAAGGACCACAUUGGUCAAUCAGUUAGAAACACAGAGGAAAACAUCACCAGUAGAUUUAGGCAAGUACAAGAAAGAAGAGCAGAGGUUGAGGCAAAGGCUGAGAAAACACUACAUUCAAACAUCAACACUUUAAUCCAAAAAUAGUUAACUAUGAAACAGCAACCCCACCCACCUGAAAGUUAUAAACAGAAUGUUUAGAAUAGUAAACACCAGAGUGGAGGCUUGAAUGGCUUCCAUAAGGCUCAUAUAUUUGAGUGUCGGUCUUUGCAGCUGUAAUACCACCUUUGAUAUUACUACCAAGGUGGGUCACUGUGAUGGUUUGAAUAUUCUUGGCCAGGAAGUGGCAGUAUUAGGAGGUUUUGUUGGUAUAGUUGUGGCCUUGUUGGAGGAAGUGUGUCACUGUGGGAGUGGGCAAUGAGGCCCUGCUCCGAGCUGCCUGGACACAGUCUGCUCCUGGCUUCCUUUGGAUGAAGAUGCGGAACUUCUCCAGCACCAUGCCAGCCUGGACACCUCCAUGCUGCCCACCAUGAUGAUAAUAGACUGAACCUAAGAACCCAUAAGCCAGCCCCAACUAAAUGUUGUGUUUUGUAAGAGUUGCCUUGGUUAUGGUGUCUCUUCACAGCAAUGGAAACCCUAACUAAGACACUGUACUACUGGAUGUGACAAGCAAGGAGGUACCACUGGACAUAGAAAGCAAAUGGAGAGACAUGGCAAGGAGAAAGGAUGUCAGUACUGAAGCUACUGCUAAGAGCCAAGAAAGGGGCUGGAAAGAGGACUCAGCUGUCAAGAACACUUGCUUCCUUCCAGACAACUCAGAGCCCAUCAUCCAUGAAGCAUUUAUGGAAGUCUAGAUUCUGCUAGCCAGCACAAGUUUCUCUAUUCUACACCACUUUAUAUCUUGGAAAUUUUGGCGAUCUCCUUAAAAUCAGAUCUCCAUGCUUAAAAUCAGCCAUGCUGAGAGGUGAGGAGGGGCUUUGUAAAGAGAUAAUUAGGACAUGAGUAUUCUGUCCUCCUUCACAGAUUAAUUUGUUAUCACGAGACAAGGUUAAAAUUAAAAUCAGAUCUUAGUCCUUAGGUAUUGAAUUUUUCAGUCCCUAGGACUGUAAAAAACCCCCCACAAAAUUUCUUUAUAAAUAACUCAGACCUUAACAACACAGAAAAGAUCAAGAUGCUGUGACAAUGUUUAAUGUUAACAUGACUAGAUUUGGAAUCACGGAGGAGACAUACUUCUGGUAUAUCCUCGAGGAUGCUUCCAGACAGAUUCCACCAAGGAGGAAAGACCCACCCCGAAUGUGGAGAGCAUCCUCUUGUAGGCUAGGGUUUGAACUGAAUAAAAGGAAAAAGAGAAGAAGUCGCAUGAGGGCCAGCACCUACCUCUCUGCUUCCUGACUGCGGAUUAACUGUGACCAGCUGCCUCACAUCACAGGGAGUACUUCCCUUGCUGCUCUUGUCUUUCCUGCCAUGACUGGACUGUGCCCUCCAACCAUAAGCCGAAGUAAACCCCUCUUCCUUAGGUUGUGCUUGUCAAGUAUGUUGUCAUGGCAACAAGAAAAGUUGCUACUACAGAACACUAGUACCAAGAGAUGGGGUUGUUACUGUGAGAAAACCUGCCCAUGUAGCUGUGAGGCCUUCUGAACUGAUGUGAGGGAGGAAUGUGGAAGCUUUUGGAGCCCUGAGCUAUAGCAUGUGUGGGGAGCUCAGACAGCCAGAAUGCUGAUAGAGAUGGAGACGCUCAAUGUGGUUUCAGAGGGAAACAAAGACUUUAUUGAGCAUUGGACCUGAAGUUCUGUGUAUUAUAUUCUGGAGUCCCCAAAUGAGCUUGUUUUCUUCCCAUAUGCUUAUAACUGAGUGAGGCUGAAUUCAAAAGCAGUGGACCACGUUGUUUGGCAGCAGAGAUUUCAAGACUACAGAACGUUCAGGUUAUGGCAUAGUUCCUUACUGCUUACUGUAUUGACUGAGAUUCAUAAUGAUAUUUCAAAGCACAAAGACACGGAAAAAUGUACAGAUAGGUCAAAAAAGGAGUGGAAGCCAACUUGAAGACUCCAACAAAAUCAGUGCCUAGAAAGCACCUAUAAUUGCUGAAGAGACUAGUGCCAUUGAAGAGCCACCAAAUGCUCCUCAAUAGGACAGUAGGGAACGCCUGACCCACCCAUUGAAAGCUAUUACUUAUGAUAAUGUGAGUUUGAAAAGGGGUCUUGAAAGGGGUUCCCUUUUCAAAACAACCACCACCUAGGGGAGUGUUUUCCCAGGUUCAGCCGCUAAGGUGCAGAGCUAUAGCUAUGAGAGACAAUGUCAGACUGUACCUAGAGCUAAUAGAAUUACUAAUUAAUAAUUGCCUGCAUUAUGCUGGCUUGGCAGGCUUGUAAAGUGCAAGAGUGAGCGGCACCCUGAGGGUUUGCAACAAGGAUCCAGAGAACUGCUGCCAUCAAGUCAAGUGUGGAAGGGUCUGAUUCUUUAAAAACAAGUCUUCACAUCCCUUUUACCCAGGAUCUACUUUCCAUCCCUGCAAAACAGUGCCUAGAGAUGUAGCCCAGCUGGUGGAGUGCUUGUCUCUUGUGUUCGAAUCCCUGUGUUUGAUAGCCAGCACUACAUAAACUGGGUGUGGUGGUGUACACCAAUAAUCCCAGCACCUAGGAGGUAGAGGCAAGAGGAUCAGAAUGUCAAGAUCAAGACAUAGAGCACACUAAAUCAGUGGAUCAACCAAAAACCAAUUGUAACAGGGGCCCAGACCUUAGUGCAACUGACUCCAUGAUGCAAACGCCAUACUGUGAAACUCAGCUUCUCCAGUUUAUUGUCCUAGCCAACUCUUCCUUUCAUUUUGUCUGCCCUAUGUCUGUAUUUUCCCAUACUGGACAGGAUGAGAAGUUGACUUUCGAGCCUGGACUCCCACUUCUCCACUCACUGCCCAGUGAACAGAUUUGUGCUAUUAGUGCUCAGCCUCAGUUUCCCCUUUCAUUUUACAACACCAAGUAUGUCUCUUGGGAGGGCCUUCUCUCUGGGACCAACAGAUGGCAGAUAAAACCUCUCACCCCUUGCUCUAUGCAUCUUGUUUACCUGACUGCCCCUG